UUAAAAACAUAAAGCGAAAGCAUCCCUGUAAUUAUUACGAUUUUAAAUUUCAGACGUCUAUGGGGAAAUCGCGAUGGUGGUCACGUGGAAGACUAUCCCAAUCAUAGUGAGGACAGCGGCUAUAAUAUGGGUAUUACAGUCAGAUCUGAGACGGACAAUAUUAUAUACUGCGUCGGGUGCACUAUCCACAAUAACAUCGGCAACGGGCUCUACAACAGGAAUGAAGUUCACCUAGCACGAUAUAAAAAAUCCAUCCCUACUCGUCCCGUCCGUCCAACUCGUCCCCCUCCCAUUCGACAGGGCUGAUUACUAGAGAACUUACUUACCAAUAAUAAAUGCUUAAAAUAAUUAAUAAGUUUGCAUUUUGCGAAAUUAAAAACAAAGUUGUUUAAUUUCUUACGAUUUUUUCAAGACCCUAAUAUAAUCUUUUUAUGUAACGAUACUCCACACAAUGAGAUAAAGGAUUGAAAAAAAAAUCAUCCCCACUUUACAUGGUACCCUAAAAAAUAAGAUUUUUGUUGACUACGGAACCCUAAAAAGACAUACUAAGCUCUGAAGUUAUGCAGACGCACUAAGCACAGAAGUUUAGUUUAUAUUGGCUAUAAGUGAUAACAGAUUUUAACGGUCAAUAUACAAUUGUUUUUCAAAUUUUAAUAUCAAAGUCAAGUUUAAUAAAAUUACGAACUUCUGGCAACCACAGACUCUCUGACUCUGACCGAUUUUUCGUAAAAAAAUUCUUACUUACAA
rnacentral:misc_RNA from 1 species